GACUCCGACUUCAUGGGGUCGAGUUGCAGACCCCAAUCCGAACUGAGACCGGCUUUUUGGGAUUCGCUCCACCUUACGGUAUCGCAGCCCUCUGUACCGGCCAUUGUAGCAUGCGUGAAGCCCAAGACAUAAGGGGCAUGAUGAUUUGACGUCAUCCCCACCUUCCUCCGAGUUGACCCCGGCAGUCUCCCAUGAGUCCCCGGCAUAACCCGCUGGCAACAUAGGACGAGGGUUGCGCUCGUUGCGGGACUUAACCCAACAUCUCACGACACGAGCUGACGACAACCAUGCACCACCUGUGUACGAGUGUCCAAAGAGAACCCCGUCUCGGGGGCUUUCUCGUACAUGUCAAGCCUUGGUAAGGUUCUUCGCGUUGCAUCGAAUUAAUCCGCAUGCUCCGCCGCUUGUGCGGGCCCCCGUCAAUUCCUUUGAGUUUUAGCCUUGCGGCCGUACUCCCCAGGCGGGGCACUUAAUGCGUUAGCUGCGGCACGGAACUCGUGGAAUGAGCCCCACACCUAGUGCCCAACGUUUACGGCAUGGACUACCAGGGUAUCUAAUCCUGUUCGCUCCCCAUGCUUUCGCUCCUCAGCGUCAGUUGCGGCCCAGAGACCUGCCUUCGCCAUCGGUGUUCCUCCUGAUAUCUGCGCAUUCCACCGCUACACCAGGAAUUCCAGUCUCCCCUACCGCACUCCAGUCUGCCCGUACCCGAUGCAAGCCCGAGGUUGAGCCUCGGGAUUUCACACCAGACGCGACAGACCGCCUACGAGCUCUUUACGCCCAAUAAUUCCGGACAACGCUUGCGCCCUACGUAUUACCGCGGCUGCUGGCACGUAGUUAGCCGGCGCUUCUUCUGCAGGUACCGUCACUUGCGCUUCUUCCCUGCUGAAAGAGGUUUACAACCCGAAGGCCGUCAUCCCUCACGCGGCGUCGCUGCAUCAGGCUUGCGCCCAUUGUGCAAUAUUCCCCACUGCUGCCUCCCGUAGGAGUCUGGGCCGUGUCUCAGUCCCAGUGUGGCCGGUCGCCCUCUCAGGCCGGCUACCCGUCGACGCCUUGGUAGGCCAUCACCCCACCAACAAGCUGAUAGGCCGCGAGCCCAUCCCCCACCGAAAAACUUUCCAACCCACACCAUGCGAUGCGAGCUCAUAUCCGGUAUUAGACCCCGUUUCCAAGGCUUAUCCCGAAGUGGAGGGCAGGUUGCUCACGUGUUACUCACCCGUUCGCCACUGAUCCACCCAGCAAGCUGGGCUUCACC
rnacentral:rRNA from 1 species